rnacentral:rRNA from 1 species
UCCGUAGGCGGGCGAUUAAGUCAGGGGUGAAAUCCCACAGCUCAACUGUGGAACUGCCUUUGAUACUGGUUGUCUUGAGUUACAGUGAAGUAGAUAGAAUAUGUAGUGUAGCGGUGAAAUGCAUAGAUAUUACAUAGAAUACCGAUUGCGAAGGCAGUCUACUAACUGUAUACUGACGCUAAGGGACGAAAGCGUGGGGAGCGAACAG